rnacentral:miRNA from 1 species
CUUCCUGGUGGGUGGGGAGAAGUGCCGUCCUCAGGAGCCCCUCUCUGUCCCACCUACAG